GACGAACGCUGGCGGCGUGCUUAACACAUGCAAGUCGAACGGAAAGGCCCUGCUUGCAGGGUACUCGAGUGGCGAACGGGUGAGUAACACGUGGGUGAUCUGCCCUGCACUUCGGGAUAAGCCUGGGAAACUGGGUCUAAUACCGGAUAGGAGCCAUUUUUAGUGUGAUGGUUGGAAAGUUUUUUCGGUGUGGGAUGAGCUCGCGGGCUAUCAGCUUGUUGGUGGGGUAAUGGCCUACCAAGGCGGCGACGGGUAGCCGGCCUGAGGGGGUGGACGGCCAAAAUGGGGCUGAGGUACGGCCCAGGCCCCUACGGGGGGCAGGCGUGGGGGAUUUUUCACCAUGGGCGCGAGCCUGAUGCAGCGACGCCGCGUGGGGGAUGACGGCCUUCGGGUUGUAAACUCCUUUCGCUAGGGGCGGAGCUGUUUGUGACGGUACCUAGAUAAGAAGCACCGGCUAACUACGUG
rnacentral:rRNA from 1 species